rnacentral:rRNA from 1 species
CCUACGGGAGGCAGCAGUAGGGAAUCUUUCACAAUGGGCGAAAGCCUGAUGGAGCAACGCCGCGUGCAGGAUGAAGGCCUUCGGGUUGUAAACUGCUUUUAUAAGCGAGAAAUAUGAUGGUAACUUAUGAAUAAGGAUCGGCUAACUACGUGCCAGCAGCCGCGGUCAUACGUAGGAUCCGAGCACUAUCCGGAGUGACUGGGUGUAAAGAGUUGCGUAGGUGGCAUAAUAAGUAGCUAGUGAAAUCUGGUGGCUCAACCAUUCAGACUAUUAGCUAAACUGUUAAGCUCGAGACCGUUAGGGGUAACUGGAAUUUCUAGUGUAGGAGUGAAAUCCGUAGAUAUUAGAAGGAACACCAAUAGCGUAGGCAGGUUGCUGGGACGGUUCUGACACUAAGGCACGAAAGCGUAGGGAGCAAACGGGAUUAGAUACCCGUGUAGUC